UGGGGAAUAUUGCACAAUGGGCGCAAGCCUGAUGCAGCCAUGCCGCGUGUGUGAAGAAGGCCUUCGGGUUGUAAAGCACUUUCAGCGGGGAGGAAGGCGAUAAGGUUAAUAACCUUGUCGAUUGACGUUACCCGCAGAAGAAGCACCGGCUAACUCCGUGCCAGCAGCCGCGGUAAUACGGAGGGUGCAAGCGUUAAUCGGAAUUACUGGGCGUAAAGCGCACGCAGGCGGUCUGUCAAGUCGGAUGUGAAAUCCCCGGGCUUAACCUGGGAACUGCAAUCGAAACUGGCAGGCUAGAGUCUUGUAGAGGGGGGUAGAAUUCCAGGUGUAGCGGUGAAAUGCGUAGAGAUCUGGAGGAAUACCGGUGGCGAAGGCGGCCCCCUGGACAAAGACUGACGCUCAGGUGCGAAAGCGUGGGGAGCAAACAGG
rnacentral:rRNA from 1 species